rnacentral:rRNA from 1 species
UGGCUCAGAAUGAACGUUGGCGGCGUGGAUUAGGCAUGCAAGUCGAGCGCUCAUAGCAAUAUGGGAGCGGCGAACGGCGUAGUAAUAUGUAGGAACGUACCCUCGGGUCGGGGAUAGCCAUGGGAAACUGUGGGUAAUACCCGAUAAUCUCUGCGGAGCAAAGGUGUGAUUCCGCCUGAGGAGCGGCCUACACGAUAUUAGCUAGUUGGUAGGGUAAUGGCCUACCAAGGCUACGAUGUCUAGGGGGUGUGAGAGCAUGGCCCCCACGACCGGAACUGAGAUACUGUCCGGACACCUACGGGUGGCUGCAGUCGAGAAUCUUCCGCAAUGGACGAAAGUCUGACGGAGCGACGCCGCGUGCGGGAUGAAGGCCCUUGGGUUGUAAACCGCUGUCAGUGGGGUGGAAAUUGUUUGGGGGUUCUCCCCAUUCAUUGACCUAACCGCAGAGGAAGUCCGGGCUAAGUACGUG